GAGAGAGAGAGAGAGAGAGCAGAAUUUGAGAGAGGCAAAAGAAGCUUCUAAAAACUGUAAAACCCAUUAUAAUAUUCAGAUCCCACUCUUCCUUCAAUGUGUUUGGUUGCACGCAUGCAUGCGCUUGUAGAUUAUCACGAUUUGCCCAGAAUUCUCUAACUCUAUAAACUUGUGACAAACAAUCACAGUAAAUUCUGCUUGCCUCUUUGGCAUUCCUUAUAGAAUUUCAAGUCAUAGAGAUGAUAGGAAUUGAGAAAUUUACCUCACAAAUUUGGGUAUUUUCAUGAUGUUUGCAGCCUCCUCUUCUUUUUUUCUUUUUUUUUUUCUCUCCCUCUCUA
rnacentral:misc_RNA from 1 species